UUGGAUUGUUACAUUUUUAAUUUAUAAUUUUAGCAGCUAUUCCAUUUGUUAAUUUUCUAUUUAUUCUUAUGUUACUACACAGCCUGACCAUGGUUGUGAGAUUUCAUUGCACACUAUUCUUUUUAGUGCGAAAAUUGGAAUAGGUAUUCGUAGUAGUACAGUCUUGCUUAAGUUGUUUACUUCAUCUCCAUCUUCAAUUAGAUUCACAGAAAACUUAGAGAUUAGCUGAUCUCUAGCUGCCCCACGGAUUUGAUUCUGCACCUAUAUUUCAAAUAGUUGCCUUGUUUUUUCUCUUUAGCAAACAUCAUCAACCGAAAAGAGAAUGAAACACCUUAAUAUGUCAUAUGUGCUUUAUAUGUUCUCAAGCUGUCAUCUAAAAGGGUAUCCUGGAGUAUACUUUAUUGUGCUCCAGGAUGUGCCUGUUCCUAUUCUUGUGUUCUUUUAUUGUGUAAAGAAUGGCUAUUGAGGUCUAAUAUUUUGCAUUGUUUCAAUUUUAUUUUUCAUAAUGUUUUAAAAGUCAAAGAUUAUUGAGACAAGGAAAUUUGACAAAUUUACUAUAACUGAGAGGGGCUCUGAAAUUGAAUUUUAGUAGAAAUCUCAUCUCUGCUCUUUUUCUGCCCUUAAAGGCAAAAGCUAAGCACACUCGCAGCUUUAUAAACUCUUUGAUGUUAUAGUUAGGUUUCUGUGUUAGUAAAUGCACAUCAUUUAAUUGCAGUUAAAUGUAUGUUGACGAUUCUUAUUACCACAAUUUUACGACUUUGUGCAUUCUAUUUAUGUAUAGUGUACUAUUGAUUGUGCAUUUCUGUAUUCAGUAUGAUGUGGAUUAAGAAAUAGAUACAUGUGUUGUCUUUACUAAUGUUUGAGUGGCUGUAAAGGGUUGAAAUUAUGAGCUUACUUCAUUAGAAUCGAAAUUAUAUAGGUUAAUGUUAUCUUGUGAUGUGUAUUGCAUCAUCAUUUAUGUAACUUGCAUAUUUUAUCAUAAUGUUACACACACAAUAAAAAGGGAUUUUUGAAAGAUAAAAUACUGCACAAGAACCUACAAAAGUUUCAUUAUUCAAUAUAUGGGCAGUGCAUGCCAUAGAUCCUGACCAAUAGAAAGAAGUACUCCAAUUUUUUAUUUUU